rnacentral:rRNA from 1 species
GAUGAACGCUGGCGGCGUGCCUAAUACAUGCAAGUCGAGCGAACGGACGAGAAGCUUGCUUCUCUGAUGUUAGCGGCGGACGGGUGAGUAACACGUGGAUAACCUACCUAUAAGACUGGGAUAACUUCGGGAAACCGGAGCUAAUACCGGAUAAUAUUUUGAACCGCAUGGUUCAAAAGUGAAAGACGGUCUUGCUGUCUCUUAUAGAUGGAUCCGCGCUGCAUUAGCUAGUUGGUAAGGUAACGGCUUACCAAGGCAACGAUGCAUAGCCGACCUGAGAGGGUGAUCAGCCACACUGGAACUGAGACACGGUCCAGACUCCUACGGGAGGCAGCAGUAGGGAAUCUUGCGCAAUGGGCGAAAGCCUGACGGAGCAACGCCGCGUGAGUGAUGAAGGUCUUCGGGUCGUAAAACUCUGUUAUUAGGGAAGAACAUAUGUGUAAGUAACUGUGCACAUCUUGACGGUACCUAAUCAGAAAGCCACGGCUAACUACGUG